UGUACUGCACCUGUAAAUAAAGGCACUGUUGCUGUCGAUGGAGCAGGAUUUGGAAUUGAUCGUCCAGCAGAACUAAGCAAAAGUGAUGAUGAAUAUGAAGCCUUCAGAAAGAGAAUGAUGCUGGCUUAUAGGUUCAGACCUAAUCCACUGAACAAUCCAAGACGACCAUACUACUGAACUGAUGGCAGUAAAAGAAUUUUAAUCAUUCAGAUUUUUAAAGAACUCUUUCAUAGUUGUGGUAUUAGUUUACACCUCCUCUGUGGUGGUAAGAUUUUAUAUUGCAAACCACACACAAAAAUAUUUAAUGAACCACAAAGAGCUGCUUGGUGGGGUUGGGUCUAAACUAAACAGCAGAGUGCAGCUCGACACCUUUUGGAGAAUUGCUGUGGAUGGCCAGUAUAAAAAUGAGACAUUUUUAAAUUUUUAUUUGAGUCUGAUUUGAAAUGUGUCCGUUUACUAUGUGAAAACAGCGUUCUGUGUAUUGCAGUUCAGUACCACAAAGCCUUCUGUGUAAUACUGAACUGCAGUAAGUGAUGGCAGAUGAAACAAAUUUGGAAUUUUUUUUUUAAGUUUGCAGUGUAAUUUUGGUCCGUUCUGUUCCAGUAAAAUGAGAUUUUCCAGUUUAUGAAAAAUGAUGUCCGUAGAAGAGGAUGGUUUCAAUGAUUUAGACUCCUUGCAUUCUAAAGAUUCUUGUGUCAGGUGUUGGGCAUUGCUCAGAAGAGAAGCUUACCCACUGAAGCUACAAUGGAAGUUGUCUGGAUCAGUCCUCUUUAAAAGCACUGAGAAAAUCUCCAGUCUAUAUGUUGACUUGUCGUUCAUUUUUCAAAGUUUUUGAAGUAAACCUUAGUACUCCACAUUCCAUGAAAACUAAAUUAUGUAUUGGUAUUCUGCGCCUUUUGAGCAGAGGUAGUGUUUUUUUUUUUCUUCCCCGUAUGCAGUGGAUCCAGGGUGAAACCUCUGUCUUUUGUUAACUACCAUAUGCAUUGUAGUCAUCAGUGACUCUUCCUGUUUCUUUUAGGUCACACACACUACUGGCUUCUGCAUAAAUAAAACCUGUAUUGCUCUGUAA